UUGAUAAGGGCGGGACUAGNNCCCGCCUGCACAGGGCUACAACCUGACGCCUACCUCGGCCUACG
rnacentral:tRNA from 1 species